rnacentral:rRNA from 1 species
AGUGAACGCUGGCGGCGUGCCUAAUACAUGCAAGUCGAACGGAGUGGCGCACGGGUGAGUAAGGUAUAGCUAAUCUGCCCUACACUAGAGGAAAACAGUUGGAAACGACUGCUAAUACUCUAUAGUGUAGGAUGAGGCUAUAUUGUAUCAGCUAGUUGGUGAGGUAAUGGCUCACCAAGGUUAUGACGCAUAACUGGUCGGAGAGGAUGAUCAGUCACACUUGAACUGAGACACGGGCCGGACUCCUACGGGAGUCAACAGUAGUGAAUAUUGCUCAAUGGGCGAGACCCUGAAGCAGCAUCGCCGCGUGGAGGAUGACACUUUUCGGAGCGUAAACUCCUUUUGUUAGGGAAGCGGUACCUAACGAAUAAGCACCGGCUAACUCCGUGCCAGCAGCCGCGGUAAUUC